rnacentral:tRNA from 1 species
GAGGGUGUAGCUCAGUGGCAGAGCAUGUGCUUAGUGUGCACGAGGUCCUGGGUUCAAGCCCCAGUUCCUCCA